UGGCCCUAAGACGUCAAUGCUGUUAUUGGUUAAGCUCGGGUGAGCGGAGGAGCGCCAAAUCCCCAAGGUAGGUCAUCGAAGACCCAACCUCCCUGCGCUAAGUAAGCCUUAGCUCAUCUUAAAAACUCCCUUUCAAAAAUUAUGGAUAUAAAGUUGCAGUAUACAAGAGUGAAUCAUCAGAAUAAAUGCUAUUAGUCAGUCUUAUUUAAGUACGAGAAAAAUGCUGUUUUAUCCACCUAUCGUCGAAAAAUGGUAUUAGAAAGUAAAUAUGUAAAGGUCCUUGCACAAUACCAGGCAACAGGCAAGAGGAACAGGACAUAAAGAAAGAGAGAGAGAGAUUUUUUCUCUCUUUCAUUAUUUCUAUUCUUAUUACCUGUUGCCUAACAUUAUACAAUUAGAGGCUUAAGGGGAUGCUGGAGAUGUCCUGUUUUAUUGACAAAAAAAAAACAGUAAUUUUUGUAAUGCAAAUCUUUUUACAUACUUUUAUUCUAAAGAAUUUCCAAAUUUGGAAAUUCUUCAGAAUAAAAGUAUAUACACAUUACUACCACGUACCCUACAUAAAGUGUCUUAUUCAAAAAUAGUGUUUCGCAUUCAAGAUUUCGUGAAUAAUUCUGCUUUGCAAAAAUCUCGGAUUGGAUCGUGGUCAAUACUUUUCAGUGCGAUAUUGAAAAUAAAACCAUGAAAUCUUAUAUGCCUCUGAAUCCGAUAACAAUUAGCAGAAGUGAAUCUUUUUCAAUGCGAGGGUUUGCAUUAUUUGAAUGCUUCUUAUUGCGAUUGAAUGCAAAAAAUAUUUAGAAUUAAGUGAAUUCUUUUGAAUGCGAGAGUAAUAUUUGAAAUGAGUUGAAUUCUCAAAAAACAGAAUUCAGAAGAUAUUUAAUUAACUCUGAUUUAAUAUCUUUUGAAUUUUGCUUUUUGCAAAAUAUCAAUAUUUUAAAAUUUUUUUCAAUCCGUUUUAUGCAGAGCAGUCUAUGGGAUGGAGUUUAAUAUAUAUUAAAAAUGGAAAAAAAUUGUUAAUUCGUGAUUAUUUUUUGUCGAGUAUGAUGUUUGCAGAAGUUGUCAUUGUAAAUAUAUGUUUGCUUAUUAAUUAAUAUAAAAGAUUUACAGUUCGUAUACUUAUGAAAUUGAUCAUAUCCAUAGACUAGCAGAUGACAGGCAGUUUUAAAAUUUUGAUUUUGAUGCCUAAUUGAGACGAAAUUAUGCUACGAGAAUUUAUAGAUUACAUACAUAUAUACGCUGAUAAGUAGAGCAGUAUAAAAAAUUUUAAUGUAUGUACUUUAAUUCUGGAAAGAAUUUCCAAAUCCAUAAAAAAAAGACAUACAGAAUCUUAUUAAUUAUUUAUACAAAUAACUCUAUACAUUAUCAACCCCGAUCAAGUUAUUUAAUUGAAACAUUCCAGCAUCAGUAUAAAUAUAAAUAUAUUAUUAGUGCUAUUUCAAAGAUAAACAUUUAACACACAUUUACAAAAUAUGGCAGCGUAGACUAUGGUUUUGAAUAAUAACGGCAUAAUAAUUUCCGUACUCGGACUUGGUAUCUGACAAGUGUACAAUAUAAAAUCUUGUAAUGAAUUCUACUCUCUCAAAGAAACUUGGCUUAUUUGGUUAGAUUGAUUGCCGACAUCGUUUAAAUAAAAAGAAAAAAGUGCCCCAGAAAAAGAAGAUAUCUUUCUUGAAAUUAAUUUUCGAAUUAUAUUAAGGGGGAGGUUUUUGUCAAAAACUUACUCCCAAAAAAUAUCUUAAUGUUAGACAUGAAACAUUGCUUAUACGCGUUAUACGCUUAAAGUGUAUUGAACAACCAACACAACAUAUAUAUAUAAAGAAUUGAAUGGUUUUUAAUUAUGAGAAACUUUCACGUUUCGCCAUCUGGUGACAACCCAAGAACAUCAAAGAACUCUUCGGACAACUGUGUUUAUAUUUUUGAGUAACUAAUAUACUCAUUUGUUUUCUAUUUUUUACAAAAUGUGAUGAUAAUUUAGGGAUAUCUUUUAGAAAUUAUUUAGAACAAAGAAACGAAAAGAACUAAAUGGAAAUGGAAGAAACUGAUGAAGCUAAGAAUCGUAAAAGUGUGUCGGGAAUUUAGAACACAUCCGACAUCGCGUGAUUUGACAAAUCGCGCCCAAUUGCGCUCCAACAAAAACUAAA
rnacentral:lncRNA from 1 species